CUGAUUCAGAGGUGAUCAUUACAAGCAGAAGUGCUGCUGAAUUCAAUUCAGCUGAUACAGUACUAUUUAAACCAAUCUUGACCAGUACCAGUAUUGGUGUUGAAGAAACUCCACACCGUGAUCCAGAAACUAUGAUCUUACUUUCCGAAGCAGAAGACUGCCCAGGAACAUCAGGAAGUGCAUUGGAAACUACAUGUUAUAGAAAAUACACAGAACUGUAUGCACCCAUUAUAGUAGAGGAUUCAGAGACCUCCGGAGACAGUGAUGCUGUCACUCAUGAUAUUUCAGAGGAUCCAGAGAUAGAACAGAGACCCAUUUCAGAAGUGAUUGCAAACCUGGCACUCCAGAUUGAUCGCCACGCAGUCAGCAGAUUUCACAUUUGCCGCUCUGACAUCUGGGAUGGUGCCGUCAGAGGAUUCAAAAGAGGAACAUUCUC